UGGCGGCGUGUUUAAGACAUGCAAGUCGCACGGGAUUGGUUGAGUAGUAAUACGAGAUCAGUCUAGUGGCGCACGGGUGAGUAACAUGUGAAUUACAUGCCCUUCAGUGGGGAAUAGCCCAGGGAAACUUGGAUUAAUACCCCAUGGUAUCGCAAGAUUAAAGGUGGCCGCAAGGCUGCCGCUGAAGGAUUGGUUCGCACCCUAUCAGCUUGUUGGCGGGGUAACGGCCCACCAAGGCUACGACGGGUACCUGGUCUGAGAGGACGAUCAGGCACACUGGAACUGAGACACGGUCCAGACACCUACGGGUGGCAGCAGUCGAGAAUAAUUCACAAUGGGGGCAACCCUGAUGGUGCAACGCCGCGUGGAGGAUGACGGUCUUCGGAUUGUAAACUCCUGUCAUCGCAGAGUAAGGCUGUUAUGUGAAUAGCAUAACAGAUUGAUAGUAUUCGAAGAGGAAGGGACGGCUAACUUCGUGCCAGCAGCCGCGGUAAUACGAAGGUCCCAAGCGUUGUUCGGAAUCACUGGGCGUAAAGGGAGCGUAGGCGGCGAGGUAAGUCAGAUGUGAAAUUCCGGGGCUCAACCUCAGAACUGCAUCCGAUACUGCCUUGCUAGAGUAGUGGAGGGGCAUCUGGAAUUCACGGUGUAGCAGUGAAAUGCUAGAGAUCGUGAGGAACACUAGUGGCGAAGGCGAGACUCUGGACACUUACUGACGCUGAGGCACGAAGGCCAGGGUAGCGAAAGGGAUUAGAUACCCCUGUAGUCCUGGCAGUAAACGGUGCACGUUUGGUGUGGGGAGAUUCGACCCUCCCUGUGCCGGAGCUAACGCGUUAAACGUGCCGCCUGGGGAGUACGGCCGCAAGGCUAAAACUCAAAGAAAUUGACGGGGACCCGCACAAGCGGUGGAGUAUGUGGCUUAAUUCGAUGCAACGCGAAGAACCUUACCUGGGCUUGACAUGCAUCGCUAAACCGGUGAAAGCCGGGGAGACUUCGGUCACCUUGCACAGGUGCUGCAUGGCUUUCGUCAGCUCGUGUCGUGAGAUGUUGGGUUAAGUCCCGCAACGAGCGCAACCCUUGUGACUAGUUGCCAGCACGUAAUGGUGGGAACUCUAGUCAGACUGCCCAGAUCAACUGGGAGGAAGGUGGGGACGACGUCAGGUCAGUAUGGCCCUUACGCCUAGGGCUGCACACGUACUACAAUGCCCAGCACAAUGAGAACCGAUGCCGCGAGGUGGAGGAAAUCUGUAAAACUGGGCUCAGUUCGGAUUGGAGGCUGCAACUCGCCUCCAUGAAGUUGGAAUCGCUAGUAAUGCCGUAUCAGCUACGACGGCGUGAAUACGUUCCCGGGUCUUGUACACACCG
rnacentral:rRNA from 1 species